AUACGUAGGGUGCAAGCGUUAAUCGGAAUUACUGGGCGUAAAGCGUGCGCAGGCGGUUUUGUAAGACAGUGGUGAAAUCCCCGGGCUCAACCUGGGAACUGCCAUUGUGACUGCAAGGCUGGAGUGCGGCAGAGGGGGAUGGAAUUCCGCGUGUAGCAGUGAAAUGCGUAGAUAUGCGGAGGAACACCGAUGGCAAAGGCAAUCCCCUGGGCCUGCACUGACGCUCAUGCACGAAAGCGUGGGGAGCAAACAGGAUUAGGUACCCUGGUAGUCCACGCCCUAAACGAGGUCAACUGGUUGUUGGGGAUUUAUUUUCUCAGUAACGAAGCUAACGCGUGAAGUUGACCGCCUGGGGAGUACGGCCGCAAGGUUAAAACUCAAAGGAAUUGGCGGGG
rnacentral:rRNA from 1 species